UCAUGAUCAGCGGCGACGGGUGAGUAACACGUGAGCAACCUGGCCCUUUUCAGAGGGGGGACAACAGUUGGAAACGACUGCUAAUACCGCAUAAUAUUGCCGGCCGGCAUCGGCUGGCAAUCAAAGGAGCAAUCCGCUGAAGAUGGGCUCGCGUCUGAUUAGAUAGUUGGUGAGGUAACGGCCCACCAAGUCGACGAUCAGUAGCCGGACUGAGAGGUUGAACGGCCACAUUGGGACUGAGAUACGGCCCAGACUCCUACGGGAGGCAGCAGUCGGGAAUAUUGCGCAAUGGAGGAAACUCUGACGCAGUGACGCCGCGUAUAGGAAGAAGGUUUUCGGAUUGUAAACUAUUGUCGUUAGGGAAGAUACAAGACAGUACCUAAGGAGGAAGCUCCGGCUAACUACGUG
rnacentral:rRNA from 1 species